rnacentral:rRNA from 1 species
UACGGGGGGGGGCAAGCGUUGUUCGGAAUUACUGGGCGUAAAGCGUGCGCAGGCGGCUUCGCAAGUCAGACGUGAAAUCCCCGGGCUUAACCUGGGAAUGGCGUUUGAAACUACGGAGCUGGAGUGUGGCAGAGGGGAGGUAGAAUUCCACGUGUAGCGGUGAAAUGCGUAGAUAUGUGGAGGAAUACCGAUGGCGAAGGCAGCCUCCUGGGCCAACACUGACGCUCAUGCACGAAAGCGUGGGGAGCAAACAGG